GAUGAAGAACGUAGCGAAAUGCGAUAAGUAAUGUGAAUUGCAGAAUUCAGUGAAUCAUCGAAUCUUUGAACGCACAUUGCGCCCGCCAGUAUUCUGGCGGGCAUGCCUGUUCGAGCGUCAUUUCAACCAUCAAGCCCUGCUUGCGUUGGGGUCCUGCGGCUGCCCGCAGGCCCUGAAAACCAGUGGCGGCCUCGCUAGUCACACCGAGCGCAGUAAUACAUCUCGCUUUGGGCGUGCGGCGGGUUCUUGCCGUUAAACACCCCCUUUUUACCAAGGUUGACCUCGGAUCAGGUAGGAAUACCCGCUGAACUUAAGCAUAUCAAUAAGCGGAGGA
rnacentral:misc_RNA from 1 species